UAAGUCCCGCAACGAGCGCAACCCUUAUCCUUUGUUGCCAGCGGUCCGGCCGGGAACUCAAAGGAGACUGCCAGUGAUAAACUGGAGGAAGGUGGGGAUGACGUCAAGUCAUCAUGGCCCUUACGACCAGGGCUACACACGUGCUACAAUGGCGCAUACAAAGAGAAGCGACCUCGCGAGAGCAAGCGGACCUCAUAAAGUGCGUCGUAGUCCGGAUUGGAGUCUGCAACUCGACUCCAUGAAGUCGGAAUCGCUAGUAAUCGUGGAUCAGAAUGCCACGGUGAAUACGUUCCCGGGCCUUGUACACACCGCCCGUCACACCAUGGGAGUGGGUUGCAAAAGAAGUAGGUAGCUUAACCUUCGGGAGGGCGCUUACCACUUUGUGAUUCAUGACUGGGGUGAAGUCGUAACAAGGUAACCGUAGGGGAACCUGCGGUUGGAUCACCUCCUU
rnacentral:rRNA from 1 species